UGAACGCUGGCGGCGUGCCUAAUACAUGCAAGUCGAGCGAACAGACGAGGAGCUUGCUCCUCUGACGUUAGCGGCGGACGGGUGAGUAACACGUGGAUAACCUACCUAUAAGACUGGGAUAACUUCGGGAAACCGGAGCUAAUACCGGAUAAUAUAUUGAACCGCAUGGUUCAAUAGUGAAAGACGGUUUUGCUGUCACUUAUAGAUGGAUCCGCGCCGCAUUAGCUAGUUGGUAAGGUAACGGCUUACCAAGGCAACGAUGCGUAGCCGACCUGAGAGGGUGAUCGGCCACACUGGAACUGAGACACGGUCCAGACUCCUACGGGAGGCAGCAGUAGGGAAUCUUCCGCAAUGGGCGAAAGCCUGACGGAGCAACGCCGCGUGAGUGAUGAAGGUCUUCGGAUCGUAAAACUCUGUUAUUAGGGAAGAACAAAUGUGUAAGUAACUAUGCACGUCUUGACGGUACCUAAGCAGAAAGCCACGGCUAACUACGU
rnacentral:rRNA from 1 species